rnacentral:rRNA from 1 species
AUUGAACGCUGGCGGCGUGCUUAACACAUGCAAGUCGAUCGGUAACAGGUGUAGCAAUACAUGCUGACGAGAGGCGGACGGGUGAGGAACGCUUGGGAAUCUGCCUAUCAGCGGGGGACAACCCGGGGAAACCCGGGCUAAUACCGCAUACGCUCUACGGAGGAAAGCCGGGGACCGCAAGGCCUGGCACUGAUAGAUGAGCCCAAGUCGGAUUAGCUAGUUGGCGGGGUAACGGCCCACCAAGGCGACGAUCCGUAGCUGGUCUGAGAGGACGAUCAGCCACACCGGAACUGAGACACGGUCCGGACUCCUACGGGAGGCAGCAGUGGGGAAUAUUGGACAAUGGGCGAAAGCCUGAUCCAGCGACGCCGCGUGGGUGAAGAAGGCCUGCGGGUUGUAAAGCCCUUUCGGUAGGGACGAAAGCUCUCGACCUAACACGUCGGGAGGUUGACUUAACCUACAAAAGAAGCACCGGCUAACUCUGCGCCAGCCGCCGCCGUAACAC